rnacentral:rRNA from 1 species
AGUGAACGCUGGCGGUAGGCCUAACACAUGCAAGUCGAACGGCAGCACAGUAAGAGCUUGCUCUUACGGGUGGCGAGUGACGGACGGGUGAGGAAUACAUCGGAAUCUACUUUGUCGUGGGGGAUAACGUAGGGAAACUUACGCUAAUACCGCAUACGACCUACGGGUGAAAGCAGGGGAUCUUCGGACCUUGUGCGAUUGAAUGAGCCGAUGUCGGAUUAGCUAGUUGGCGGGGUAAAGGCCCACCAAGGCGACGAUCCGUAGCUGGUCUGAGAGGAUGAUCGGCCACACUGGAACUGAGACACGGUCCAGACUCCUACGGGAGGCAGCAGUGGGGAAUAUUGGACAAUGGGCGAAAGCCUGAUCCAGCCAUACCGCGUGGGUGAAGAAGGCCUUCGGGUUGUAAAGCCCUUUUGUUGGGAAAGAACAGCAGCAGGUUAAUCCCCCGCUGUUCUGACGGUACCCAAAGAAUAAGCACCGGCUAACUUCGUG